GAUGAACGCUGGCGGCGUGCCUAAUACAUGCAAGUAGAACGCUGAAGGAGGAGCUUGCUCUUCUGGAUGAGUUGCGAACGGGUGAGUAACGCGUAGGUAACCUGCCUGGUAGCGGGGGAUAACUAUUGGAAACGAUAGCUAAUACCGCAUGACAACAGUUAUUGCAUGAUAACUGUUUAAAAGGGGCAACUGCUCCACUACCAGAUGGACCUGCGUUGUAUUAGCUAGUUGGUGAGGUAACGGCUCACCAAGGCGACGAUACAUAGCCGACCUGAGAGGGUGAUUGGCCACACUGGGACUGAGACACGGCCCAGACUCCUACGGGAGGGAGCAGUAGGGAAUCUUCGGCAAUGGACGGAAGUCUGACCGAGCAACGCCGCGUGAGUGAAGAAGGUUUUCGGAUCGUAAAGCUCUGUUGUAAGAGAAGAACGAGUGUGAGAGUGGAAAGUUCACACUGUGACGGUAUCUUACCAGAAAGGGACGGCUAACUACGUG
rnacentral:rRNA from 1 species